rnacentral:tRNA from 1 species
ACUUAAAUAGUUUAAUAUAAAAUUUUGAUUUGUGGUGUCAAUGAUGUGAAUUAAAAUUCAUUUUAGGUC